AAUGAAACUGGAAUGAGACCUUCAUUCUGAUUCUGUUCAGAUGCAGUUUUUUCGUUCUAACAUCUCCAUCUUGGCUCACUGCGACUUCACAAAACCUUAGCCCUUUCUCUUACUACGAUUUCAACAAAACCCUAGCUCCUAUUGAAACAUAGUUCUCAGGAUGCCUCCAAAAAUGGUAGCUUGUAUUGUAGUCGAGUCUUCAUCAAUCCUAGAGAAGAUGCACUUAAGAGGGGGAUCAUAAUAUGGAAAAUCGAUGUAGCAGAAACUUCAUUUCAGAUGGGAGAAGGCAUGAAACUUUCUAGUUGACCAAACAAUAUAUUUUAUGAAAAGUGGUAGUUUUGUAAGCAUUUUAGACAUGCUACUUCUUGGGAAAUCUGUUUUUGUAAUUGUCACUGGUUUUUGGGAAGGCUCUCAGGGACUUGCCUCCUUUCUAUUCUUCU